AGUGAACGCUGGCGGUAGGCCUAACACGUGCAAGUCGAACGGCAGCACAGGAGAGCUUGCUCUCUGGGUGGCGAGUGGCGGACGGGUGAGGAAUACAUCGGAAUCUACCUUUUCGUGGGGGAUAACGUAGGGAAACUUACGCUAAUACCGCAUACGACCUACGGGUGAAAGUGGGGGACCGCAAGGCCUCACGCGAUUAG
rnacentral:rRNA from 1 species